GCAGAGUCAAAUGGUUUUUAAAAAGAAUUCUAAGAACUCCUGAGAUCCCAAACAUGUUGCCCUGCUGGACGCUAGAUUAUUUUUGAUCUUGCACAUGCCACAUAUUUGUCUACAGCUGUGCAAGUCUGAAAGGCACCCAUCUUUUAUCUGUCCAGUGAGGGUCAUUGGUGGAAGGUGCUUACAUUUUAAAGAGCUCUCUUAAUGGCAUGACUCAUGCAAGGCCACGCCCAUCCUCCAGACUGCUGCAGCCCACAGAAAAGCUGUCCUGUGCAGUCUCCAAGGAGACCUCUGGGCCAGUUACCUUGGUGAUGCAUUCCCUGUCAGCCCAGCUGAUGCCUCGGGACUGAGAUAUUCACUGUGACACACUUUACACACUUUACUUACAGGAACCUUGACUAUAGCUUUUCUCUAAACAUUUCUGAUGAUUUCAGAAACUGAGAACUUAUUUUUCUAUAGUUAUUUUAGUUUUCCGAUGUUAGACUGACAGUUUGAGAAAGAUUGCAUCAGGGCAUUUAAUAACUAUUUUUCCUAGUAAUGGACUACAGCAAAGGCCAUCUUUCCAGAACUGAUUUUUUCCAGUGCAACGUGGGGUUGAUAUUGUGAUCCUCCUGUUUUGCCCUCUCCAAUCUGUUCAUGCUAAAGCAUCCAGAAUGAACAUUCUAAAACAAAAAUCCCACUUGUCACUCUCCUAUGCAGAAUGAAGUCCAUGCAUCUUAGCAUGAUCUGUGUGACCCAUCCCCUCUGGCCCCUGCCCACUUCUCCAGCCUGCCUCUUGACUACACCAUCUUCAUGUCCUGUGUUUCAGCCAAACACCUCUUAGUCCAAAUUUCUUCCUCCUCCUUCCCCGCCUUCACACCCACCCACUCCCCAACUCAUCCAUGUGACAGGCUCCUCCUUGAACUUCAGGUCUCCAUUUAAGAUUCCAUUUCUUGUGGAAGUUCUUUCUGGAUUUUUCUAAGGAAGAGCCCCUCCUAGAGGGUCUCAUAGUUGUAUUAAAUUACUCUUUUACAGCACUUCCCAUUAGUACUUGAUCUACGUAUAUUUCUGUCUUAUUCCCUAAGAAUAAAGAACAUGCCGUUCCAGGGCAGGAACUAUGUCUUGUUCAAAAGUAUAGGAAUACUUAUAGGAAGAGAAACCUAGAAACAGGAGGCACUUACCUGGCCCACAAAUGGCUAGUUAUUUCUUGCCUUUCUUACUCUUCUCCACCUAUAACUUUCCUCUUGACAAAUAAUAGUAAUAAUUUUUUAUGGGGUCUCAGUCCUGACCCAUCUCCCUUCCAUCCGGUCUGGUAGAGUAUAUCCACAUAUAGGUGAC
rnacentral:lncRNA from 1 species